GCUGGGUGUGGUGGCUCACGCCUGUAAUCCCAGCACUUUGGGAGGCUGAGGCAGGCAUAUCACUUGAGGCCAGGAGUUUGAGACCAGCCUGGCCAACAUAGUGAAGCCCAUCUCUACAAAAAAUUAGCUGGGCGUGGUGGUGCAUGCCUGUAAUCCCAGCUACUAAAGAGGCUGAGGCAGGAGAAUCACUUGAACCCAGGAGGGGGAGGUUGCAGUGAGGUGAGAUCGUGCCACUGCACUCUAGCCUGGGUGACAGAGCAAGUCUCUGUCUCAAAAAAAUAAAAAAAUAAAAACUUUUUCUAGGAAAAUAGCUCUGCCCAUAAUCAUGGGUUACCAAACCUUCCCAUAGACAUUUAUUUCAGUGUUUGCCUCACUGGGUUCAACACUCCUAAAAGUUCUACAACCUUCCAGAUGUUUUUAUUGUAGACACUAUUUUAGCAUCUAGUUGUACCUUCAGCCAUCUCUUAAUCAUCUUAAUUUUCAGCUAGUCUGAAAACGGAUAGAAGCCAGCAGCCAAGAACUCAGCUAAAUAACACACCAGCACACACUCUUUCCAAUUCCUUUUUUUUAAUACAAGUAAAUCAGGGAUGAGAGACAAUUCGACAAAAGGAAGGGGAAAGGAGUUUCCUUUUCACUGAGAAGUUUUUCACUGAGAAAUUACACACAAGUAAAUCUUGGGAAGAUGGUUGUCUAAAGAUCAAACAUAAAUCGCAUUUGAAAAAUGGAAUUCCAGUGUAUUUGGCAGUAGCCAUGGAAUCCCACAUUUAAUGAUAGCUCAUUGAAAUUGCUCUUUUAGCCACUGCCACUCAGCUGAAUCUUUACAUACAGGCCUUUUAUCUUAGAAGGAAAUGAAAUUUUGACAUCGCUUGUUGUGUUAUUCUAUUUGCCUGUUCCCCUUAAGGAGGAGAAGGAACUGUGAGCUAAUAACAUCAUUUCUAUGUCCAAGAUCCCAUAAGGGCAAAGACUUACAGUCAUCAAACUUCAACACCAGCUGCAGCAGCUUUUCCAGCAAUUUGCACAAGGUCAUUAAUACCAGGUAUUUUGCUUAGAAAAUUGCUCUUGUAAAGGAAGGGUAACGUCUUACGCAGUUGUGCAUAGAAGGAGUCCUAUGUAAGUCUAGGCGUGAGUCACAUGACUAUGAGUGCUUGAGCUAAGUUGAAACAUAUUUCUAGUACUUGUUAAGAAAUCCAUACAUUGUAUAUAACUUUAGAAUUUGUCUUCCUCUCUGUUUUAUUAAACCCAUUUAUCUUUUGUGAGAGAUCAUAAACACCUAAUCCAGAAGGGACUGGGGAACAAGCAGGCACUGUAUGGAGGGCAGACAGGCCAAACCCAGGUCUUCCGUCUCUGCAGGGAGCAAAUGUGUGCAAACAUAUCAAGAAAAGUUGACAUUGUUACAGACACUGCCAGAGGUAAGGAGAAAAAAAUCAACAUCUGGUAAAAGCCAUCCCAAAGCUUUGCACACACACCAAAAAAAAGGUUGAUUGGUGGAAAUUAGCUACAAAUAAUAAAGUGGGCUCCAAUUAACAGGAAAUCACUAUGGCUAAGGGAAAGCUGAAUUGAGGCUAUAUUUACUGAUAAGUAUUUGUGUGGUUUGCAGUUGUCUCCAUGCAUGAUUAUUGCUGACCAUCUCAGGGCAGAAAUGACUUCCAAGAAUACCACUACCAGCCACUCAUUCAGUGAUGUGACAUGAAGUUUCAGGGCCAGAGAAUAUAAUGGGAUAUGAAUAUAAUCUUUGGAGCUCUGUUUCGAUGAAGUAUUUGGGUAGUUCUAGAAGAAUAUUCUAAAUAUUCACAUUCAUGCCUAGUUUUUCAGUCCCAAUUUUGUAUUCUUAAAGAGGGCAUUUGUCUUAGUCUGUUAGCGUUGCUGCAAAUGAAUACCUGAGGCUGAGUAAUUUGUAAAGGAAAGAGGUUUACUUGGCUCACAGUUCUGCAGGCUGUACAAGAAGCAUGGCACCAGCAUUUGCUUCUGGUGAAGCCUCAGGCUGCUUCCACUCAUCGUGGAAGGUGAAGGGGAGCUAGUGUGUGCAGAGAUCACGUGGCAAAAGCACAGAAGAAAGAGAGAGAGGACGGAGGUGCUAGGCUUUUUUUAACAAUCAGCUGUCUUGCAAACUAAUGGAUGGAGAACUCACUCAUUCCCACGGGAACUGCAUUAAGCCAUUCAUGAAGAAUCUGCCCUAUUACCCAAACAUCUCCCAUUAGGCCCCAUCUUCAACACUGAGGAUCAAAAUUCAACAUGAGGUUUGGGGGUCAAACAACUGAACUACAGCAGCAUUCAGGAUUCAAAGUGCUUGAAGUCUAUUUGCUCCUAAAUAAAAGUUUAUCAGAAGUAUCUCAUUUCUAUCUCUGUCUUCACCACUUCAUCAGCUCCCUCCUCAAAUAGUUAACCAUUUCCAAAAAUUC
rnacentral:lncRNA from 10 species